rnacentral:rRNA from 1 species
AUUGAACGCUGGCGGCAGGCCUAACACAUGCAAGUCGAGCGGAUGAAGGGAGCUUGCUCCUGGAUUCAGCGGCGGACGGGCGAGUAAUGCCUAGGAAUCUGCCUGGUAGUGGGGGAUAACGUCCGGAAACGGGCGCUAAUACCGCAUACGUCCUGAGGGAGAAAGGGGGGGAUCUUCGGACCUCACGCUAUCAGAUGAGCCUAGGUCGGAUUAGCUAGUUGGUGGGGUAAAGGCCUACCAAGGCGACGAUCCGUAACUGGUCUGAGAGGAUGAUCAGUCACACUGGAACUGAGACACGGUCCAGACUCCUACGGGAGGCAGCAGUGGGGAAUAUUGGACAAUGGGCGAAAGCCUGAUCCAGCCAUGUCGCGUGUGUGAAGAAGGUCUUCGGAUUGUAAAGCACUUUAAGUUGGGAGGAAGGGCAGUAAGUUAAUCCCUUGCUGUUUUGACGUUACCAACAGAAUAAGCCCCGGCUAACUUCGUG